rnacentral:rRNA from 1 species
CCUACGGGAGGCUGCAGUGGGGAAUAUUGGACAAUGGGCGAAAGCCUGAUCCAGCCAUGCCGCGUGUGUGAAGAAGGCCUUCGGGUUGUAAAGCACUUUCAGUGGGGAAGAAAGCCUUGGGGCUAAUACCCUCGAGGAAGGACAUCACCCACAGAAGAAGCACCGGCUAACUCCGUGCCAGCAGCCGCGGUAAUACGGAGGGUGCGAGCGUUAAUCGGAAUUACUGGGCGUAAAGCGCGCGUAGGCGGUCUGAUAAGCCGGUUGUGAAAGCCCCGGGCUCAACCUAGGAACGGCAUCCGGAACUGUCAGGCUAGAGUGCAGGAGAGGAAGGUAGAAUUCCCGGUGUAGCGGUGAAAUGCGUAGAGAUCGGGAGGAAUACCAGUGGCGAAGGCGGCCUUCUGGACUGACACUGACGCUGAGGUGCGAAAGCGUGGGUAGCAAACAGGAUUAGAUACCCCAGUAGUC